GCAAGUUGAAACGUAAACUCAAACGUCGACUCUGUUACGGAAUCUCUAAAAGGCGACUUUCUAAUUAAAAUGCGGAAAUCUAAAACCCACCUCCGAUUGCUGGAUUUAACUUCCGUUGGACUCAAUACGGCUCCAGAAGAACAAUUCUAGUCCGCUAGGCUACUCCGCCGCCAAAGACACCGCAGCCGCAGACGCUACCACCGCGGCUAACCUUUGGUAAUAUCACUCUUCUUCUUUAUCUCAAUUCUCUCAUUUGUCCUUGAUCUGUAUCGCAUUGACUCUAACGACAUUAUAUUUCUCCAUUUUCCUUUUUUAUUUUUGAAUAUUGCAGAUAUAUUUGAAAUAGGAGUGUACAUAUAUACACACAUAUAUGGCUAAUUUACAGUCCGCUAAAAAUAUCCUCCGCCGGAGCUCUAGUGGAGGGCUGCACCACCCACUGUUAUUCGCUGCCCAGGGAGUUCGAUAUAGAAAGCUUGAAGUAAUUCUCACCACGGUCGGUAUCUAAAA
rnacentral:lncRNA from 1 species